UCUGAAAAAUCAUAUACAAAAUAUAGGAGCUUUUUGGUUGAAAGACACUCCAGAUGUUUGUCUCAUGCCUUGUGUUAGUAUUAGUUCCACACUGAGGUUACCCCUUAAUCCCUUGGAAUUCAAUCACCUCGCUCUAUGGCAGGUCUUGCAAAGCUUAUGUUACAAGGGGAGCAAUGAAAAAGACCAAUAAAUCACUAACCCUGCUCUCACUUCUCUUUCAUUUUCUAGGUUUACACUGAGGUUUAUUCUAAGGUUUUUAAUGCUUGAUUCUUCUUCCUUUGAAAUGGCACUGGCGAAGCACAAGGUCUGCUAAGAAUUUCUAAUCAAUUGCCUCCAAAGCUCAAUGAGGGCGGGUUGUGUGAUUUGGCAAGGUUCAGGAUGAUGAAGAGCCACAAGGUACAAGAUAGAUUGGAAUAUUCUUAAAAGAACAUCCAACUCUGGCAUUUCAUACAAGUGGUGCUAAGUCCUUUGGAAAGAAUCUAUAUCCUGAACUUCGACUUAUCUUCUAAACUGUCAAGUUGCCUUCGCACAAUUGACGGAUCCUUGGAAAUGCCUCUCCUUUAUUUCCGUUCUAGGACAACUGACUCACUUUGUUAUUUUUGUAUUAGGUGAUUUUAGGGGUUUGUCUUUACUUUGUGUCAAUUGUUAAAUGAUACCUUUAAACAAAAUUUAAAUGUAAAUGUUUCUUCCAAGAAGUAAUCCACUUACAGCUUAUGUAACUCAGUGUCCCCCCUCCUGCUUAUGUAUUUACAUAUCGCUGGUACUUCAGGUUGAUGAAUGACUCUUUUUUCCCGCCUGUCAAUAUUCAGUGGCCUAAUUCAUUGUCUUGUUUGUAUAAAAAUAAUUACAGGUGAAGCAAGUCACUUCUGGAACUCACUUUUGGCUUUUUUUUUUUGGGGGGGCUUAUAUAAACAUUUUUUGGUGAUCGUUGUGCUCAUGGGACAAAGGUAAUUAUAUUAAAUGUCAUCUAUAUUUUACGUGAAGAUAAGUGGCUGUCAAGUCAUGCAUUCUCAGAAUAAAUUACGUGAAAGUUUGAGUCAUCCUAUGAUCCUGUACUUAUAAAUACUGAUCACCUUUCCACCCGACAAGCAAGACUAUGCAAAAGUUAUUCGGAUUGUGUCUAAACUACAUAUCUUAUUAGAUUUAUGAAGGCAACAUUCUUGAUCAUUCUUCACCGAAUUUAUAGGAAGUCAGUAAGGAGCAAAAGAGAGCUAUUGCGUGGUUGAUUAUCAAAAAUUGAUGGUGACAGCUACAGUGACUUUAAUUAUUGAACAUGUUAAUCUAAUUGCAAGUUCUUAGUUUACUUGUUCUGUAAUGAAUAUCUUCUUGGUUUAAACUUUUUCUUGGUAAUUAUGUAGCUGUGCUUUUUGGAAUAUGAAGCCAACAUGACAGGUAACAAAUGUAAAAAGAUGGACAAUAAAUGCAUUGUUGUAUCAUAUGAGACUAUACCUCAAGCUAAAGCAUAUAGUGACUUUUCGGCUUUCCUUAUGAACAGUAUGCCUUUGUUCAAGAAUUUGAGAUGUCUCUAAGAAUCCUACAGUCUUUGCCUUCACUAAGGAGAUACAAGAUUCUUAUUGAGUCACCAUUGACAGUUUCUUUAUCAUUUAUGGAAAGCUACAAUCAAUCUCACAUAUUAUGUUGAAGAACCUUUUCGAAGGUCUGAUUAACAAAAACAAGUCGGACGUAUGCCCGUGCCUUGCACGGGCACGGGCUAUCUAGUAACUAUAUAUAAGGGAACAUCACCAAAUUUUGUCGUCCUCACAUUGCAAUACAAGAUUUUUGAUUGGUUGAGGAUACACACGUGGCUGCUAGCCUGCCACUGCCAUUUCUUUGUCUGACUAUCCACUUUAACACUCAAUUACUUUUC